CCGUUGGAGACCACAACGUUGAUAGGUGGGGUGUGUAAGCGCGGCGACGUGUUGAGCUAACCCAUACUAAUUACCCGUGAGGCUUAACCAU
rnacentral:rRNA from 1 species